UUAACUCAAAUUUGUAUGAAGUUGGAACGAUUGCCUACGUUUGCCGCUAAGGGCGCUGUUCCAACUGCAUAAAAAUUUGAGUUA
rfam:Bombyx mori DNA, contig: Bm_scaf13_contig10151, strain: p50T/Dazao, build 2, whole genome shotgun sequence.